rnacentral:rRNA from 1 species
GAUGAACGCUGGCGGCGUGCCUAAUACAUGCAAGUCGAGCGAACGGACGAGAAGCUUGCUUUUCUGAUGUUAGCGGCGGACGGGUGAGUAACACGUGGAUAACCUACCUAUAAGACUGGGAUAACUUCGGGAAACCGGAGCUAAUACCGGAUAAUAUUUUGAACCGCAUGGUUCAAAAGUGAAAGACGGUCUUGCUGUCACUUAUAGAUGGAUCCGCGCUGCAUUAGCUAGUUGGUAAGGUAACGGCUUUCCAAGGCAACGAUGCAUAGCCGACCUGAGAGGGUGAUCGGCCACACUGGAACUGAAACACGGUCCAGACUCCUACGGGAGGCAGCAGUAGGGAAUCUUCCGCAAUGGGCGAAAGCCUGACGGAGCAACGCCGCGUGAGUGAUGAAGGUCUUCGGAUCGUAAAACUCUGUUAUUAGGGAAGAACAUAUGUGUAAAUAACUGUGCACAUCUUGACGGUACCUAAUCAGAAAGCCACGGCUAACUACGUG